AUUGUGGGAGGUCCAGCUGUCAGGAGAUCACCACGACCUGCACCCUCUGCCAUCCUGUCCGAGACACGAUGAGACUGUGGGUCCCGAAGGAUCGACCUGGAAGACAGAAGGCAGGCAAGGAGUGGACAUUGGAUUAGUGGGUGAAGGUAUAGAGCCAACACCCAAACCAAACUGACCCCAAAGCUGUGUACACUGUUUUCUAAAUACUUUACAUACAGUAAGCUGAACUUCUAACUACCUCAGGUAAGGACACUGAUGUCUCCAAGGUCAUAUGACUGAGAGAAGACUCUGGAAGAGGGGAUUUAAGGCAUGUUGGCUCCAGCUACCAAUCUGAUCACAAAUCCUGUACCUUUUUCCUAAUUCCAGCUUCCCGGUACUCCACAGGUCCCAUUCUAGAUAGGCUGUUCCCAGAAGACCCUCAUGGUCUUGGUUCUACUCAGCAUUCUCCACUCUCAACACCUGCUGUCACGGCCUCAAAGCUGACCCUGUAUGGUUCUGCUAACAGUGCUCAGCACCUGGGAACCUGCACACGUUUCUCCCUAGAUGACUGACUCAAACAAGCCCUUCCCUGCACACCUGCAACCCUUCAGUGGCUUCUACAGACACAUCAAGCCUACCGUCUUGAAGUAUGCCCUGCUUCCAGCCAGUGUGCACCCUUCUCCACUGAGCUGUGGUUAGUACCAUCAGACAACACUGGCCCUAUAGCCUUAGGUCUUAAACAGAGGCUCAUUCACAAAGUGACACCAGAGUGGGCAUGUCUGCCUCGCUCUUCCUCUGGAAGCCUUCUGUCCCCUUCUGUCCCCUUUGGGAUGAGUGGAAUAACGAUAAAGUAUUGGGCCUACAGGA